AGCUCAAUAGUGUAGCAGGUAUCAUGUCUACUUUAUAUGCAGAAGGUCCUGGGUUCAAGCCCCAGUGGAACCA
rnacentral:tRNA from 1 species